rnacentral:rRNA from 1 species
GAAUAUUGGACAAUGGGCGCAAGCCUGAUCCAGCCAUGCCGCGUGUGUGAAGAAGGCCUUCGGGUUGUAAAGCACUUUAAGUCGGGAGGAAGGUUUCUUGGUUAAUACCCAAGAGCAGUGACGUUACCAACAGAAUAAGCACCGGCUAAUUCCGUGCCAGCAGCCGCGGUAAUACGGAAGGUGCGAGCGUUAAUCGGAAUUACUGGGCGUAAAGCGCACGUAGGUGGCUUCUUAAGUCGGAUGUGAAAGCCCUGGGCUUAACCUGGGGAUUACAUCCGAUACUGGGUGGCUAGAGUACGGUAGAGGGAGGUGGAAUUCCAGGUGUAGCGGUGAAAUGCGUAGAGAUCUGGAGGAACACCGGUGGCGAAGGCGGCCUCCUGGACGGAUACUGACACUGAGGUGCGAAAGCGUGGGGAGCAAACAGG